rnacentral:misc_RNA from 1 species
UCUUUCACGCAGCCUCUUCAG